UUUCCGUAGGUGAACCUGCGGAAGGAUCAUUAAUGGAUUGGGACGCAAGUCCCGAAUUCUCAUCCUUACCUCUGUGCAUUUGUUUUAGUUUCUUUGGCGGGGCCCGUUUCGGCUCUGAAAUCUUCCCCUCCGGGAGGGUUUUUGGAGAGUCUCCGCCAAGGUCUUUUAUCAAACUUGUUUAUUCAGUCAGAAAGUAUCAUACAAAAAAGUUAAAACUUUUAGCAACGGAUCUCUUGGCUCUCGCAUCGAUGAAGAACGCAGC
rnacentral:misc_RNA from 1 species